GAGUACAUGCUUCCUAAGGCAAAAACCUCUAAAUAAAUAAAGACGAAAAGAGAGCUCACUUCCUCUCCAUUCCCUGCCAUGUGAAGAUACAACAAGACAGCCAUCUACAAACCAAGAAGUAUAGCAGGAAGGCACCUUGAUCUUGGACUUCCCAGCCUCCAGAAUUCUACAUGAGCUCCGGUGUCUGUCAAUAAGGAGAAGAAGCAAAAAGAAAAUUCUCUCCAAUCUGCACAAAUUCCCUCUCAGAGGCACUCACAAGGCAAACCAAUUUUAACUACUAUGACAUCUCACACAUACUGGAUCUGCCCAGCCACACCUUGUAACACCUCCUUCCACAACUGUGGGGCUGCGUCUGGAAGAAAGGCAGAGUGCCCUCUGCUCCCAGGGUUCUUGUCUUCACCUAACCUACCCGAGACUCCUGCUUGCUGAGCCCAGGGUCCUCUUGAGAAUCCAUCAGCCACCCUGAUCUGAAUGUUUAUGGAGUCCAGGAAUUUAGGUAAGAAUGCACACACACCCGGCAUGA